rnacentral:lncRNA from 1 species
UUCACUCCCGUUGUUUGGCAAGUGGGAGGAAGUGUCACAGCUCUUUUAUUUCUGCCACCCACAGCUUGGUGAGUAGGAGCAUUACAGCUCUUUUGCUCCCACAGUUCAGCAAAUUCUGAGUUCCUGUCCCAUGACCAAGAGGAAUGAGGAACAUGGACACCGGAGAAUGAGUAAGGCAGAGUAGAAUUUUAUUCAUCAGCGAGAGGGGACCUGAAAGCAGGUCGCCAUCUGUGAGGAUUAAAGUUAGGACCAAAUGCUGCUCAGAAAUUGUUUUAAUCUCAAAAGUAGUUGGCAAGUUUUCAGAGUUCAUUUUCAAGGCCUGGUGUAUGUGAAACAACUGAACAUUCAGAGCUAUUUCAUUUUCAAAGAUUCUCACAUGGUGUUGAAUAGUGUCCCCUAAAAAAUCAUGCCCACCUGGAACCUCAGAAUGUGACCUUAUUUGGAAAUCGGGUGUGCAGAUGAAAUUAGUUAGGGAUCUCAAAAUGAAGUCACUGUAUUAUUAUUGUAGAUGAUUAUGUACACUAAGUUCAAGGACUGACGUCCUUAUAAAAAGAGAGGGUACACACACAGCCAACAGAGAGAAGAAGGUCAUACGAAGACACGCAGAAUUUGGACUUAUGCGGUCACAAGUCAAGGAGUGCUUGGAGCUACCGGGAGAUGGAAGAGUCAAGGCAGGAUUUUCCCUGGAAGAUUUGGAAGGAACAUAUUUCUCCUGAAACCUUGAUUCUAGCCUUCACUAAUGACAGAGAAUAAAUUUCUGUUCUUUUAAGCCACUCAGUUUGUGGUACUUUGUCUUACAGAAACCCUGGGACACUAAUAAAUUUCCUAAGUGGUAUACAUAACAUCUUCUAACAUUAUGAUUCUAUGGAAUGCUUUGAUAAUCAGCUAAAAGUUAUCGGCUGUCUCCCAGGAAAGAUGCACAAACAUACAUAUUCAACAUUUUGUGUUCAAUUUUUCAAGUUUCCAGGAUUUCCAGGGCCUCUCUACAGAUCCUCUUCGUAUCUACACAGCUGAUUGUGAACUCUGUUCUUAUACAAUGUAUCCAAAGUAAAUUAACUACAAUACAACUGUGAUUAUGCCAUUCCAAAUUAUAAAUAUUAACAUCCUUUCUGAACUACAAGACCCUCUACAGUAUGACUGCAUUUGUACAUACUGCAGCUCUCCUGCUGAACCAUCCUUUGUUCUUAUCAUACCAAACACAUACGUUUCCAGGACACACUAUGCCUCUGUGCCUUUGCACAUGCUAUGCGCUGCCUGGGACUCCCUAACUUCCAUCUGCACAUAACCUUCUAAUGAAUUUCCAGGCAUUCUGGAAGUUUUAUAUCACUCAUUUUAUCUAUGAAUCAAAUGAUCUCACUGACAAAGUAUUAUGUUGCUUUUACAACAUGAUUCAAGUCCUUGACUGUGACGUAUUCCUGAAAUACAAGGUGCUUUAUUUUGAGUGUAAGAAAAUUUUAAUUAUAAUAUUAUAUUGUAAUAUGUGGUUUAAAUUUCUAUAUGCAUGCAUCAUAUUUCCAAUUUCUUACAGAAAAGAAUUAUUAUAAUUGUAUAAUAUAUAAUGUAUAACACUAAAUAUACUAUAGUAUUAAAACUAUAGGCUUUUAUUUCAAUUGGUGAAGAUUAAAAUCUUAGAAUCAUGAUCUGUGGGCAUUCUGACCUUGACUAAAUGCAUACACUUUAUGUAUCUAAGCUUUCUUCACUGUAAACUGGUAAAAAUGCACUUAAUUCAAAAAAUUGUGAGGAUCAAAGUAAAGUCUAAAACUUUAGUACGGC